rnacentral:rRNA from 1 species
AAAGCAGAAUUUCUAGUGUAGAGGUGAAAUUCGUAGAUAUUAGAAAGAAUACCAAUUGCGAAGGCAGCUUUCUGGAUCAUUACUGACACUGAGGAACGAAAGCAUGGGUAGCGAAGAGGAUUAGAUACCCUCGUAGUCCAUGCCGUAAACGAUGUGUGUUAGACGUUGGAAAUUUAUUUUCAGUGUCGCAGCGAAAGCGAUAAACACACCGCCUGGGGAGUACGACCGCAAGGUUAAAACUCAAAUGAAUUGACGGGGACCCGCACAAGUAGUGGAGCAUGUGGUUUAAUUCGAAGAUACGCGCAGAACCUUACCAACACUUGACAUGUUCGUCGCGACUCUAAGAGAUUAGAGUUUUCGGUUCGGCCGGACGAAACACAGGUGCUGCAUGGCUGUCGUCAGCUCGUGUCGUGAGAUGUUGGGUUAAGUCCCGCAACGAGCGCAACCCUCACUUUUAGUUGCCAUCAUUAAGUUGGGCACUCUGAAAGAACUGCCAGUGAUAAGCUGGAGGAAGGUGGGGAUGACGUCAAGUCCUCAUGGCCCUUACGUGUUGGGCUACACACGUGCUACAAUGGCAUCUACAACAGGAAGCAAAACGGCAACGUUAAGCAAAUCCCGAAAAGAUGCCUCAGUUCGGAUUGCACUCUGCAACUCGAGUGCAUGAAGCUGGAAUUACUAGUAAUCGUGGAUCAGCGUGCCACGGUGAAUGCGUUCCCGGGUCUUGUACACACCGCCCGUCC